CACUUGCAAUUUUUCUAAAUUGACAAAAACCCUAAAAAAGCUUUUUCCAUCAUUUCCAAUUUUUUAAGUUGCCACCAGCACACCUCCUGAAAUCCUAACACUUCAGUUUCCCCUUCCAUUUCCGUCACGGGACCACCAGAUCUCCUCCAGCCCACCUCAAUGCCUCCACACUCUUCUUCUCCGGAAAAACCAGACAAAAACUCCGACUAUUUUAGUUAAAAAACAACAACGAUGCCAUCUCCACAAAGCUUCAAGACCUGACGACCGCCAGUCUUUUCCACUUUACCCCUUUUUGAUAUUUUGUUUGCUUUUUGCAGUUUAUAAGUGAGAUCAAAGCUCCACAAACAAAGAGAUUAAAGCUCUGAACUACAUGAUCUCCGGCAUGAAUCAAACUCUGUUGAACAAAAAUUGAAGCACCGUGGUGACUCUAACUCCGGUGGACAACAGCCAGCCGGCUGGCGAGACUCCGACAUUGAGGGUUCCUCUUCUCCAUAAGAGUCCUAAAAUCUUCAAAUCAGAAACUCAAGAUGCACAGAGAAACUUCCCAUCAAUUCAAACAUAAAAGGUUUUCUUAUCUCAAGAUCAAGCCUAAAGAUUCCAAGCUCAAAGAUUUCUUUCAAGAAAAGCUAAUGUUCUUCCGCAAGCUGAAGAUAAAAGUAGUCUCCACUAAAGUGUUCAUUCUAAUAGCGUCAUAAUCCAGUAUGUAAGUUAUCGUAGUGUUGAACUAGUUCAUCUUCAUGCCCUACAUAUGUCUAAAUUCAGUAAAAGAGUAAUAUAGGGUAUUAUCCUUGAUUUUGAAUAUUCUUGAGACGAGUUAUAUUGUUGAGUAGUGAAUUCUUAAUGCAUGAGUAUUGAGGUAUAUAUUAUUGUAUUGA